UGCCCGGUAGCUUAACUGGCAGAGCACCUGACUCUGGAUCAGGGGGUUGGAGGUUCGAGUCCUCCCCGGGCAGCCA
rnacentral:tRNA from 1 species